rnacentral:rRNA from 1 species
AAAGUCUGGUGUUAAAAUCAACUGCUUAACGGUUGAAUGCAUUGGAAACUUCUAGUCUAGAGUGUGGUAGAGAGUUCUGGAACUCCAUGUGGAGCGGUGGAAUGCGUAGAUAUAUGGAAGAACACCAGNUGCGAAGGCGAGAACUUAGGCCAUUACUGACGCUUAGGCUUGAAAGUGUGGGGAGCAAAUAGGAUUAGAUACCCUAGUAGUCCACACCGUAAACGAUGGAUGUUAAACGUCGGGGCGAUCACCUCGGUGUUGCAGUUAACACAUUAAACAUCCUGCCUGGGUAGUACAUUCGCAAGAAUGAAACUCAAACGGAAUUGACGGGGACCCGCACAAGUGGUGGAGCAUGUUGCUUAAUUCGACGGUACACGAAAAACCUUACCUAGACUUGACAUCCUUGGCAAAACUAU